GCCUGAGUGGCUCAGUCGGUUAAGCAUCUGACUUCAGCUCGGGUCACGAUCUCACGGUUCGUGGGUUCGAGCCCCGCAUCGGGCU
rnacentral:tRNA from 1 species